UGCAUCUUUAAAGAGUGUUUGUGCUAAUUUUAUUGAUUUAUUUGCUAUCAAAUUUUCUAGUAUUCUUGCACUUAGUUAACAAACAUUAUUUGUGAGAGUUAAAAUUGUUUGUAAGUUAGGUGUUUAGGUGAGUGGUUGUAAUAAGUUGGAGCUAUAUAUUGGGGCUACAAUUGUUUCUGUUAUAAGCGUAGAUUGAACUUUGGCCAAUAAGUGGUUGGAUCAAUUGUUGAAUAAACAUUCAUUGAUGGUAUCAGAGGAGGCUUCAAGAGUUGGUUGAAGACGAUCCUAGCAUAAUUGCUACCAUGGAGGCUAUGAAAGAAGGAAGUUUUAUUUCUCGAGCACCUCUUCAUGUUGGAUCUUCAAACUAUGCUUAAUAGAAAUCUCGGAUGAGAGAUUUUAUUAUGUUUAUUAAUGAAGAUACAUGGAAAGCUAUUGAAGAAGGAUGGACAAAGCCUGAGGUGAUUAAUGAUGAUGGAGUUGUUGGAAUGAUGGUACGCUCCGUGGCGUAGCAAGAAAAUAAUUUUACUGAUCACAACUCAUGAAUCCAUGUACAAGGAAUGAACCUGUUUUGAAAAGGUUGCAAAUAUACCUCAAACGAUUUGAAAAAGAAAAAAAAACACUAGUAUGGGUUGAAAACUCUGUCACGGUCGCAAACCUCGGCAGCAAUGAAAGCAUCCUAGGUUCUAUGUGAUCCACCCGGUAAACCCUCUCAAAAACCCUUUUAAAGAGUUUUGCUCAAAAUGAAUAUCAAAAGUGCUAGUUGUGUAUCAAAUAGGGUAAGUCAAGGGGUGGUAUUAGAUUGAUUGAUUUCCUUUCUUUUUUAUUUAAAAAUGUUUUAAAUGCCAAGAUUAAAUGAUUAAUGUCCUUUCCUUUUAUUGAAAAA